ACCACGACCACUUUCAGGGCCUAAGUGGCGAACGGUCUCCUCAGAGUACGGGGUUGAAGGACAUGGCGCACGGAGGUGCAGCGCCCAAACACUUCCCGAUGCGUGCUACGCCGGAACCCUGCACUUUUCAGCGGACACAACAUCUUUGUAUGUGGUGCUGAGGAUUGAACCCGGGCCGAACGCAUGCCAGGCGAGCGCGCUACCGCUUGAGCCACAUCCCCAGCCCUCUCAUUCUUAAUAGUUAACAGACAUACCAGAAAAUUGAGAGUUAAAAAGUAGAUCAGCCUUUAAAGACAUGAAAUUAAGAUACAUCUGGAAACAGGAUGUUGGAAAGUCAGUUUAGCCUUCAAAGUCUAUGUGGUCAGCAGAGAUACCAAGAAGCCAGAGCCAGGAAAGACAAGGUCACUAAAAUCAAACCUAUUGAGAAAGAAUAAUAGUAUGCCCUGUUCCGAAAAUAAAUAAAAUAAAAUAGGGACUGUCUCAGAUGAUAAGGGACAAGUUCCAAGAAGUGAGGUGCAAACACAAUUUUAGGUUUUAAAUCCAAAUUUAGAUUUAGAAUCAUAAUUUUUAGUGAUUCUAAAAGUAAACUAUAGUUAACUUUAUUAGCAUAAUAAAAAUCACACCUUAUUUGGAGACCUGAGAUGGUAAUAAGUUAUGAGUCCUAUGAAGAGACAUGAUGAAGAAGAGUGAACAUACUAAACUCCAUUUCUACAUGUCAUGACAUCAAGAGAUUGGGUACCUGCCUAUUAUGUAGAUGCCAUGUUAGUUGUACAACCUUUGUCCUUUAAGUUAGCCUGGGAUUUCUGAACCCCAUGUUCUGCUUCCCUGGUGUUUGAGCAUAAGAGUAAAAAGUCUUGUUCCUGUGCUAAUGUGUUUUUAUCUUAAUCUUCUGAUAGCAAAAGAAGGCAUGGAAUUUUCUGAGUGCUUUGAUGCACACCUGUAAUACCAGCAACCUGGAAGGCUGAGGCAAGAGGGUCUUAAGUUUGAAGCCAGCCUAGGCAACUUACUGAGAUCCUGUCUUAAAAAAAAAAAAAAAAUUAAAAUGGCUGGGGAUGUAGCUCAGUGGUAGGUGUCCCUGGGCUAAUUUCCAGUACCAAAAGACAAAGACAAAAUAAACAAACAAAAAAAAAAAACGUGGAGAGUCAGUAAUGAGAUUUUUCUAACUGCCAUUUUCUGAACAUGUCAAUCGUGAAGACUGAUUAUGCAUGCACAGACCACUGACAACUUCACCUCCAGUCACCUUUACCCACAUCUUAAAUCACCCUGCUUUUUUUUUUCUUUGUGGUACUGAAAUAUUUCAUUUAUAUAAAGCUCAAUAUUAGGGAAAAAUACAUUAUCUAUAGAUAAACAUAUUACUGAUAAAACUCUAAAAGGAAAAGCAAGUGAAGUUUUGAAGCUAUAUGGUGAGUAUAUUGACAUACAUUUUAUUAUUUUAAUUGUAUCUACACUUUUGGGUUUAUGAUAUAUUUUAUAUGAUAAUCAAUUUUAUCUCUUUAUUGUGGUAAAUAAUAUUAAAUCUAUCAGCUAUUCUUGGUGUUUGCAGUGCUGGGAUGGACCCUAGAGUCUUGUGCAUGUUAGACAAAUGCUCUACCACUGAUACUACUGACCCAUCUCCUCAGCCUAAGACCCUGCUUUGAAUACUUUUGGGUAUAUACCCAGAAAUGGGAUUGCUCUAUCACAUAAUAUACUGGAGAUCAAACCUAGGGCCUCAAGCAUGCUAGGUAGGUGCCUCACCACGAGCUUAUAUCCCCAUCCCUACCCCCUUCCCAAUACUUUUUUUAUUUUUUGGUACUGAGAAUUGAACCCUGUGUUAAUUCAGUUUUUAAUAUUUUUUGGGGGGGAGGUGCUAGGGAUUGAACUGAGGGAUGCUCUAUUACAGAGCUACAUCCCAGCAUUAUAAAAAUUUGAGACAGGUUUAUACUAAGUUGCCAAGGCUGGCUUCAAACUUGGGAUCCUCCUGCCUAAGCCUCCUGAGUAGCUUAGAGGAGUGUGCAAUUGGGCCUGGCUCAAUUUUUAAUUUUUUGAGGAAACUCCCUACUGUUUUCCAUAAUGGCUGCAUUAGUUUACAUUCUCAUCAAUAGUGCAUAAGGACUCUAGUUUCCUCCACGUCCUCACCAACACUUUUUCUUUCUUUUCUUAGGUAUUGGAUAUUAAACUCAGGGCCUUCACAUGCUAGGUGAACACUACCCCUGAGCUACAUCCCUGUGUGUGUUUGUUUGUUUCUUUCUUAUUUUCUUUUGAGACAGAGUCUCCCUAAGUUGCUCAGGCUGGCCUCAAAUUUGUGAUCCUCCUGCCUCAGUCUCCUGAGUAGCUGAGAUUACAGGCAUUUUAAUUUUACCCAAAGUGCUUAAAAUCAGCAUACUACAGUGAGGAAGCCACAUCAAUGUUUAUAGCAGCUUAAUUCACAAUAGUCAAACUCUGGAACCAACCUAGAUGCCCUUCAACAGAUGAGUGAAUAAAACAACUGUGGUUGGUAUAUAUACACAAUGGAAUAUUGCUCAUCCUUAAAGAAGAAUGAAAUUAUGGCAUUUGCUGGAAUUUUAUAAUUUUCAUCCAUUGUGCUUUCUCUUCACUGAUGCUCACGCCUGGCUCAAGUGGCAACUGCAGGGGACUCCGACUCCUGGAAUGCUCUCCAUGUUCUCUGUGGAAGACCCAAUGUGGACGGUGGGGAACCACGGCACCCCUGGCAGGGAUCCCCAGGAAGGCUAAGAAGAGGAUGAGAACAUCAAGCAUACCUGGGAUAACAAAAAAACAAGGAAGCGGAAGUAAAAACCAGAAAAUUUAAAAAAUCAGGAAUAUAAAAGAGAAAAGAAUGGCAGUAGAAAAAAAGGCAAGAAGAAAUUAAAAAGAGGUUAGAAGAGGGGCUGGGGUUGUGGCUCAGUGAUAGACGGCUCGCCUAAAAUGUGCGAGGCGCUGGGUUCAAUCCUCAGCACCACAUAAAAUAAUAAAUAAAUAAA